CCCGCACAAGCGGUGGAGCAUGUGGUUUAAUUCGAAGCAACGCGAAGAACCUUACAGGUCUUGACAUCCCUGACACCCAAGAGAUUGGGCGUUCCCCUUCGGGGGACAGGGUGACAGGUGGUGCAUGGUUGUCGUCAGCUCGUGUCGUGAGAUGUUGGGUUAAGUCCCGCAACGAGCGCAACCCUCGCCUCUAGUUGCCAGCAUUCGGUUGGGCACUCUAGAGGGACUGCCGGCGACAAGUCGGAGGAAGGUGGGGAUGACGUCAAAUCAUCAUGCCCCUUAUGACCUGGGCUACACACGUGCUACAAUGGGCGGUACAAAGGGCUGCGAAGCCGCGAGGUGGAGCGAAUCCCAGAAAACCUGUCUCAGUCCGGAUUGAAGUCUGCAACUCGACUUCAUGAAGGCGGAAUCGCUAGUAACCGCGAAUCAGCAGGUCGCGGUGAAUACGUUCCCGGGCCUU
rnacentral:rRNA from 1 species